UGGGGUUGUAGCUCAGUGGUACAGCACUUGCCUAGCAUGCAUGAGGCACUAGGUUCAAACCUCAGCACCUAA
rnacentral:tRNA from 1 species